rnacentral:rRNA from 1 species
UUUCCAUGCAAGUCGAACGGCAGCACGGGUGCUUGCACCUGGUGGCGAGUGGCGAACGGGUGAGUAAUACAUCGGAACAUGUCCUGUAGUGGGGGAUAGCCCGGCGAAAGCCGGAUUAAUACCGCAUACGAUCUAUGGAUGAAAGCGGGGGACCUUCGGGCCUCGCGCUAUAGGGUUGGCCGAUGGCUGAUUAGCUAGUUGGUGGGGUAAAGGCCUACCAAGGCGACGAUCAGUAGCUGGUCUGAGAGGACGACCAGCCACACUGGGACUGAGACACGGCCCAGACUCCUACGGGAGGCAGCAGUGGGGAAUUUUGGACAAUGGGCGAAAGCCUGAUCCAGCAAUGCCGCGUGUGUGAAGAAGGCCUUCGGGUUGUAAAGCACUUUUGUCCGGAAAGAAAUCCUUGGCUCUAAUACAGUCGGGGGAUGACGGUACCGGAAGAAUAAGCACCGGCUAACUACGUGCCAGCAGCCGCGGUAAUACGUAGGGUGCAAGCGUUAAUCGGAAUUACUGGGCGUAAAGCGUGCGCAGGCGGUUUGCUAAGACCGAUGUGAAAUCCCCGGGCUCAACCUGGGAACUGCAUUGGUGACUGGCAGGCUAGAGUAUGGCAGAGGGGGGUAGAAUUCCACGUGUAGCAGUGAAAUGCGUAGAGAUGUGGAGGAAUACCGAUGGCGAAGGCAGCCCCCUGGGCCAAUACUGACGCUCAUGCACGAAAGCGUGGGGAGCAAACAGGAUUAGAUACCCUGGUAGUCCACGCCCUAAACGAUGUCAACUAGUUGUUGGGGAUUCAUUUCCUUAGUAACGUAGCUAACGCGUGAAGUUGACCGCCUGGGGAGUACGGUCGCAAGAUUAAAACUCAAAGGAAUUGACGGGGACCCGCACAAGCGGUGGAUGAUGUGGAUUAAUUCGAUGCAACGCGAAAAACCUUACCUACCCUUGACAUGGUCGGAAUCCUGAAGAGAU